GAUGAACGCUGGCGGCGUGCUUAACACAUGCAAGUCGAACGAACCUUCGGGUUAGUGGCGGACGGGUGAGUAACGCGUGAGCAACCUACCUUAGUUACUGGGAUAGCCCGAGGAAACUCGGAUUAAUACCGGAUAUUCUUAUUUAAUCACAUGAUUUUUUAAGGAAAGGUCAGCCGAACUAAGAUGGGCUCGCGUUCUAUCAGCUAGUUGGUAGGGUAAUGGCCUACCAAGGCUACGACGGAUAGCUGGUCUGAGAGGACGAUCAGCCACACUGGGACUGAGACACGGCCCAGACUCCUACGGGAGGCUGCAGCAGGGAAUAUUGCGCAAUGAGCGAAAGCUUGACGCAGCGACACCGCGUGUGGGAUGACGGAUCUAGGUUUGUAAACCACUUUCAGGAGGGAAGAAAAUGACGGUACCUCCACAAGAAGCCCCGGCCAACUACGUGCCAGCAGCCGCCGUAAUAC
rnacentral:rRNA from 1 species